rnacentral:rRNA from 2 species
UCCAAAUUCUCAACGAUGGAUAUCUUGGUUCCCAUAACGAUGAAGAACGCAGCGAAGUGCGAUAAGCAAUGCGAAUUGCAGAACCGUGAGUCAUCAGAUUUUUGAACGCAACUGGCGCCGAUUGGCUAUCCAGUCGGCAUGCUUGUUUCAGU